rnacentral:rRNA from 1 species
CGUUCGGGAGGCAGCAUUUAGGAAUAUUGGUCAAUGGGCGAAAGCCUGCACCAUGCCAAGUCGCGUGAAGGAAGAAGGAUCUAUGGUUUGUAAACUUCUUUUAUAUGGGAAUAAAGUGAGGAACGUGUUCCUUUUUGUAUGUACCAUAUGAAUAAGCAUCGGCUAACUCCGUGCCAGCAGCCGCGGUAAU